rnacentral:misc_RNA from 1 species
ACCGACGAUGGUGACUACAACAUCAAGUUGCGCAAUCUGAUCGGUUUUCUGCAGGAGGGCGACAAGGCCAAGAUCACCUUGCGUUUUCGCGGUCGCGAAAUGGCGCAUCAGGAAUUUGGUGUGCGCUUGCUGGAGCGGAUCAAGGCCGAUCUGGAGAUGCAUGCGGUGGUGGAGCAGUUUCCGCGGAUGGAGGGUCGGCAGAUGGUCAUGGUGCUGUCUCCGCGCAAGCGGGAGGUGAAGGUCAUCAAGCCGAAGGCUCCCGAGGAUUCUAGCGGUGCCGGCCAGUUGGGAGGGAGCAGGCAGGAGACGGCGUCCCGGAUCGAGGAUGCCA